AAGAGGAGGAGGAGGAGAAGGAGAAGGAGAAGAAGGAGGAUGAUGGUGGUGGUGCACCUUUCCCUCGACGAUAGGCGGGAGGACCAAUUUUCACGGCGGCGAGAUAUAUCCGGAGAUCUCUCGUAGUACCGAAGGGUUGGCGGCAAAGAUCACAAGAUUACGCGAAAUGAUGAUAGUGGGAUACUAGAAAGAGACAUUGGCCGAUCAUCAUCGGAUUUGAGAAUCGUUGUUAGAUUGGAAAUCUGAAAUGGUAGUUCGGCAAACGGAAGCAACUGGAAACGGCGUAGGUAUCAAAGCGAUCUCGCAACACCAAUUAAGUCCCUUUCAGACCUUAGGGAUAGGUCUGAUAGAGGUGGAGUGGUCUGGCCAAUAAAACAAGCCGGAGAACGUUUCCAGCACUCUAACCAGGCCUCAGUCAGUCAGUCAGCCAGCCAAGCCAGCCAGCCAGCCAGCCAGCCAGCCAACCAACCAGCCACCACCUUCGACGUUGGCGUCCCCCAACCUCACAACCACCCACUCUACACCUAUCCUAUCCCCAUCCCUUAUACACAUCCACAUCCACAUCCCUCAUUCCUAUUACCCAUCCAUCCCCAUACUACCACCCCACCCAACCCUUACUCCUCGCGAGAAGCUCAAAUGUGUCUAAUGAACCGGCUUGUGUGCUUAUAUCUGCGGCUCCUCUAACCGCUUUAUACGGGCAUUAGUUCGCAGGAUAUACGCCAAGUAAAUAAUGUGGCGGAAAUAAAAACACCAAGAGAGAGAGAGAGAGAGAGAGAGAAGAGAGAGAGAAAGAAGGAG